UACGAAGGGGGCUAGCGUUGUCCGGAAUUAUUGGGCGUAAAGAGCUCGUAGGCGGUUUGUCGCGUCUGCUGUGAAAACCCGAGGCUCAACCUCGGGCCUGCAGUGGGUACGGGCAGACUAGAGUGUGGUAGGGGAGACUGGAAUUCCUGGUGUAGCGGUGGAAUGCGCAGAUAUCAGGAGGAACACCGAUGGCGAAGGCAGGUCUCUGGGCCACUACUGACGCUGAGAAGCGAAAGCAUGGGGAGCGAACAGG
rnacentral:rRNA from 1 species